CUGGCUAUGCAGUCCAGUCCAGGUUUGAAGAAUAGAAUUGGUACCAUACCUGCAUGUCCUUUUCUGGACUUUAUUGGGAAUUUUUCGAAUAUUUCACACUGAGGAAGCCAGCCUCCAUGAUGUAAAGAAGCUUACACCAGAAAACUGAAAGAGGAGACAGUACAUGUGGGUAGAGAUGCCACGUGGAAGAGCAUCGAGGCACCAGACAUGUAAUAAAUGUUAAUUCUAAGUUUAAAAAAAAGAGAAGAAAAUAUGAAGAAGUAAAAAUAAUUUAUUUCUAAUUAAGAAGAGAAAAACACCAUUUUUCAUGGCAUUUGUGUAUUUUGUCAAGACCACAUCUUCCCCUUGGCCCUGAUGAGCAUGCAGACCACUAGUAGCAAUGAAGCUAGCUUGGUUUUGGCACCAAAGUUCUGCCACCAUCAAGAGAAGAGAAUGGAUCUCAGAAUGAACAUAUGUUGAGGAAAUGGAGCAAGGAACCAUAUCCAGCAGAACUUGCAAUUUGAAGCAAUCAGGAGAGAUCAUCCAAUUCGCAGUCAACCUGCAUGCCCAUGAGUGUGAAAAUAAAUGCUUAUGGUUGCAUGCCCCCAAGUUUGUCAUUCAGCAUUGUUGUAGCAAUAGAUUAUUGAUAUAAUUCUUAAAGGCAGAUACCAUGUUGAAUUCAAGUUUGUCCAUGACACUUAUCCAAGUGC
rnacentral:lncRNA from 1 species